UCCCACUACUGGGCAUAUACCCAGAGAAAACCAUAAUUCAAAAAGACACAUACACCCCAAUGUUCAUUGCAGCACUAUUUACAAUAGCCAGGUCAUGGAAGCAACCUAAAUGCCCAUCGACAGACAAAUGGAUAAAGAAGAUGUGGUACAUAUAUACAAUGGAAUAUUACUCAGCCAUAAAAAGGAAUAAAAUUGGGUCAUUUGUAGAGACAUGGAUGGAUCUAGAGACUGUCAUACAGAGUGAAGAACAGAUCCAGGAGACCAGAAAAACUUACCACCCACAGCUACUCUUCAUAAUCAAAGUCAUUGGAUGAAGACAGGCAGGGUAAGAAGAGAGAAAAUGAGCUGCAGGUGCUGGAGAAGGGACUGAGGUUCACCUUAGGAAGAACAUUGUGUCAAUAACAUCGAAGCUCUGGAGAAUCUCAUGGAAGGAGCUUCAGGGUUUUGGUCAACAUUCACUCUACCAACAUUUACUGAGGACCUUCUGGGCCUUUCUUGGUUUGUGUCUAAUUCAGUCACAGAGCUAAAUCGGGAAGAUUUCACUCAAAUGCUUCUCUGGAGGGUUUCCCUAACGUGAAGUAUUGCUAUCUCUUUUUUUCCCAAUUUUUCUUCUCAUUCUCUGCCACCUAUGAAGGUUCACAGGGCCCAGUCCUGGACCCUGCAAAAAAAAAAAAAAAAGCUUUAAAAAUCAAGAAUGAUUCUAAAAGGAAAUCUGACCCAUCGCACCAGUCAAGAUUUCAGCCUCUUGAUCAAACAGCCACUCAUAAGGCAAUGGCGUGCUGAGAAAAGCAGGCAGUAAUGGUAGCCAGUUCAGAGGUGUGAGGACGUGCUGGGAACUGGUUUAUAUUACCUACCUCCUUUUACUCAACAGAAACUUUCUUCUCUACAGAAAAUGGCAAUACCACUACCAUUCUAGGAUUCCUUGUAUUAGGCCUCACCCAACAACUGCUUGGCUGUCUAUCCAGAAUAGUUAAAACAGCCAGUGCCCCAGGGAAUGUCAUAACAUUUCACUGUAUUCAGUGACGCCCUAUUUCGUGAAUUGCAGAGAACCUAGUCUUCUGCACACCUGGCUAUGAAUCACUGACUCAGUGACCUCCAUUUGGGAUCUGAUUUCCUGAGGUAGUUAAUUUAGCCUUCAUGAGAUGGAGGGACUGAACCUUUCUUAGGGAUGCAUGCUUAAUUUCACAUAACUGUGAAGUUACUUCAGUUGUUUACAUGGCAAUCUUGUGUGAUCUAAGCAACUCUAUUGCUGUCAUUUUAAGACCGUUUGAAACAUCUUAAUAGUCCCAUUUUUUUUCUUUUCCUCUUGCUCAUUUCCAAAUGGAAGGAAUUCUUAUGAGGUAAUAGGGUGGUGGGGAGAAACCCAGUUUGCUUUAGCUCCUACUAAUUAUUCCAUGUUAUGCUUGAGUGGGUUAUUUGCAUCCAAUCUCUAUUUGGUAACAUCAGUGGGCUAUGUUUGCAUAACUAGAUCGAAUUAUAAAAGGAUUUCCAUUUUGAAUGGUUAACUCUCACAAAAAGAAAGAAAGAAAAAGAAAGAAAAAAAAGAAAGAAGGAAAA